AAAUCGAAUACGUCCGGUGGUCGCCUGUAGAAGGCGUGAAUAGGGAAGUCCGGUGAAAAUCCGGCGCGGUCCCGCCACUGUGUAGGGGAGCUCUAUACCGAUCCACUGUCCUCGCGACGGGAAGGGGUAGAGAGCGUGGAACCUGAGCCAGGAGACCUGCCACCGGAGCGAACACGAA
rnacentral:ncRNA from 2 species